rnacentral:rRNA from 1 species
UACGAAGGGGGCUAGCGUUGUUCGGAAUUACUGGGCGUAAAGCGCACGUAGGCGGAUUGUUAAGUCAGGGGUGAAAUCCUGGAGCUCAACUCCAGAACUGCCUUUGAUACUGGCAAUCUCGAGUCCGGAAGAGGUAAGUGGAACUCCUAGUGUAGAGGUGGAAUUCGUAGAUAUUAGGAAGAACACCAGUGGCGAAGGCGGCUUACUGGUCCGGAACUGACGCUGAGGUGCGAAAGCGUGGGGAGCGAACAGG